GACGAACGCUGGUGGCGUGCUUAACACAUGCAAGUCGAACGGGAUUUAGUAAACAGAAGCCUCGGUGGAAGAUUACUAAUGAGAGUGGCGAACGGGUGAGUAACGCGUGAGCAACCUGCCUAUGACAGUGGGAUAGCCUCGGGAAACCGGGAUUAAUACCGCAUAAAAUCGUAGAAACACAUGUUUUAACGGUCAAAGAUUUAUCGGUCAUAGAUGGGCUCGCGUCUGAUUAGCUAGUUGGUGAGAUAACAGCCCACCAAGGCGACGAUCAGUAGCCGGUCUGAGAGGAUGAACGGCCACAUUGGAACUGAGACACGGUCCAAACUCCUACGGGAGGCCGCAGUGGGGAAUAUUGCACAAUGGGGGAAACCCUGAUGCAGCGACGCCGCGUGAACGAAGAAGGUAUUCGUAUCGUAAAGUUCUGUCCUAUGGGAAGAUAAUGACAGUACCAUAGAAGAAAGCUCCGGCUAAAUACGUG
rnacentral:rRNA from 1 species